rnacentral:rRNA from 1 species
CGCGGCGACACAAGUGGUCUGCCGCUUGCAACAUCGCAAGAAGUCCACUGAACCUUAUCAUUUAGAGGAAGGAUAAGUUGUAACAAGGUUUCCGUGGGUGAACCUACGGAAGGAUCAUUG